AGCCCAGCCAGAGAUGGCACCCACCAUUUAUGUGCAGGAGGCGAGAAAUUAACCUCUCCGCAAACACAUUUGGCCCACUUUUCAAAAAGGAAAGUGAGACUGAACUGGCGGGCGAGUGAGUCUACUACCCUUUCCCGAAAAUCAGGAUGGGGAGGAAACACCUUGCAAGGAAACCAGCCUCAAACCCUGCUGGACCUUGUGGCAAUGAUGGCUUGCGCCACCACCGGGUGUGUUGUUUGGAAAGCAUGGUGUUUAAAUAAAAAUU